rnacentral:rRNA from 1 species
UACGUAGGGGGCAAGCGUUGUCCGGAAUCAUUGGGCGUAAAGAGCGUGUAGGCGGCUCGUUAAGUCUGCUGUGAAAGUCCAGGGCUCAACCCUGGAAGGCCGGUGGAAACUGUCGGGCUAGAGUCCGGAAGAGGCGAGUGGAAUUCCCGGUGUAGCGGUGAAAUGCGCAGAUAUUGGGAGGAACACCAGUGGCGAAGGCGGCUCACUGGACCGGAACUGACGCUGAGGCGCGAAAGCGUGGGGAGCAAACAGG